rnacentral:rRNA from 1 species
UACGGAGGGUGCAAGCGUUAUCCGGAUUCACUGGGUUUAAAGGGUGCGUAGGAGGGCAGGUAAGUCCGUGGUGAAAUCUCCGAGCUUAACUCAGAAACUGCCGUGGAUACUACCGGUCUUGAAUAUCGUGGAGGUGAGCGGAAUAUGUCAUGUAGCGGUGAAAUGCUUAGAGAUGACAUAGAACACCCAUUGCGAAGGCAGCUCACUACCCGAAUAUUGACUCUGAGGCACGAAAGCGUGGGGAUCAAACAGG